rnacentral:lncRNA from 1 species
AUAUAUAUAUAUAUGGUGGUGUUUAACGACCUUGACUGGCUAUACAGCCCUCGCACGGUCGGCUCGGUGCCCGAAGGCGUUUGGUGAGCUUUAUCAUAUUUUGAUGCCAUGGGUCAGGAACAAGUAGUGGAGGUCGCGAUAUGUAGGCCGCCAUCUUGGUUUUGGUGAGUUGUUUUUGGUUUGUUGACUAUUUUGAUGUUGGUUUACUUCACAACGGCUGCUUUCAGGGCCAGUUUGGUCAGCUUGGCAGCCCGCUAGCCUCGAUGAUGGAGUACUGGUAGAUGAUCUCGGACGUAGUUCGAAAGAUGACAGGAAGCAUUAUCAGGACCAAAGCCGUGAGGCAGUGAAAUGAAGGUCGUAUCACCCAACAGCCGAGGAUACAGCCCUCGGACG